UUUGUAUGCUUCUGCCUAGAUUUGGUGAAUUCUUUGUACUUCGUCUUCCUGGUAACGUUUUACUUUGGACAUAAUUAUUAAUUUUCACACUAUGCGGGCAUUUAUUACUAGGAUUCGUAACAAUAGGCUUAGCGAUACUUGGUUUCCCAAUAUUACAAUUGGUUGCAGAGUUACUUUUUACAAGCGCAUUCGCUUUUAUAGCGCUGAGAUUCGUUUUCGCCAUUGGGUUUACUGUAUUUAUUAUGGGAAUGGCCUUGCCAUCUCCAUCGGUCAUGGGUUUACUGGGCAUCGUAAUUUGGCACGGUGAUGUUAAUUUACUUGGUGGUGUUUUCGCUAACACACGAGAAAGACCAGACGGUGGGCGAAAGUCUGGGCUCAUAAGAGAUUCUGGAACAGGCACUAAUUUUGUCGCAGCCUGCAAAGGACUAGAUGUUUCUGGAAACGAAACAUUAUUAUUAUUAUUAUAUAUUAUAAACAAUGGUAAAUACUUUUCUCUUCACUCUCAAUGUACCUUCAAUACUUGCAACAGGAUUACUCGAUAACUUAUUAUUUAAUGUGCCACAUAGCAUGUUCGGAUCCAAACUUUGUGUCAUUAAUGUUUCAUGUUCUUCGUUUAAAAGAGUAUGGCAUGAAGAAACCAUGGCAUCAGUAUGGCAACUAGUUAUCAUUCUGUCUGGAGAUCGUAUUCUUAAUGAAUUUCUCGAUGUACCUAGUUAAGUAUCAUGCAUUUUAUAUGUUUGUAAUUUAUCUUAUAAGGUAUUGUGUGUUUUGUUAUGCUCAUGUUGGAUGGGGCUAGCUUUGCUAGCAGAAGCGUGCAAAUGAUAUCUGACUAAAGACUAGACAAACAAUAGAAGAAUUGUGAACUACGUGAAAUGUAUUUCCAAAUCGUCAAACGAUAAUUUGCUAACCAAAUCUUCUAAUUAGCAUUUAUUAUCAUAACAUUUUAACGUUUCAUCUUUCAUUCUCCAAAGUCAUUAGCGCUAUAAGCUCAAAAAAGCAAUUGUAAAAACAUACUACAUACUAGGCAUGAGAGAUAGAAACAUGUGCAUCAAUCUAAGGUAAAAUUUGUUUAUAAUGUAUAACAGUAUUCUCUCAGACAUUAUUAACAUUAUUUUUAGCAUGAGCUUUUCUAACAUAGAAAUGCAGUUCUCAGAUUUUUACACAUGUCCGCAACGCAGUUAUAGCCGUAUGUGAUAUAUCCUCAUUCUGACUUUGGAUACCUUUACAAGGUGAAUGGCACACACAGUACUUUGCUUCGUAAAAUUUUGGUGACUGUAAGCAUUUAUCUUCAUAGUAUGUCAACAUUGGCGCAACUAGAGAAAACACAUUAUAACUAGAACAUGUAUAAUGUGCAUGACGACUGGAAAGUGUACAUCACUACUAGUCCACGAUUACAGAUAGAAAUGGAGAAAUUUGAUUCCUGAUUGUAUUUAGAAGAAUUAAGAAAACCUUAAGGAUUAAUUGGACUCACUGGCACGUCUAGGAGAACUUGUCCUGAUAUGACUAAGUCUACGCCUAGUGGCUGGAGAAGGACUCAUUCCGACGCUACUCAAGCUGUGCACACUUCCAGUGUCGCUUUGUUGAUUUAAUUGCUGCUGAUGAUGUUGUGCUUUACUCAAAAUCAGCCUAAGCUUCCUGUCGGUCUCGUUUUCUAGGGAUUCACCAGAGAGAGGGCAGACAGAUGCUAAGUAUUGAGCAAGCAGUGCAUGUUCACCAACACGGAAUUGUCUACCGCGUCCCUGAGAAUAUAGCCACUCUGCCUUUAAACUGAGUGACCAUAAUUUAAAAUCAAUUUUGACUUUUGGACCUUUGGUACUGCUACAUUAUAAGUAUUUAUAAUAUCUUCAAGAAAAGACCUACCUUUCGAUAGGAUCAACAGGAUAGCCAUCAAUUGAUAUUAAGCUCAUACACCAAUUGAUAACAAAAGGACGAUAGUCAAACCCACUAUUAGCUAUUUGUUAAGAAGAAUAAGCUAUAGCUAUGGAGAUAUAAAACAUAUAUAAUAAAAAGGAUACAUACUAUUACCUGCCAUACUGACACAUGGAUUAUUGGCAAUUGAGAAAUGGAUCAAGUUUUUUAGAUUAGCUAAAUGUGACAUUUCAUUUAAAUCAGUAAUGUUGUUAUUUGCCAAUGUAAACGUUUCUAACGAAGUAGGUAAAUAGCGUUCACAUUGCCGCAAUGUUAUGAUGCGAUUGUUAUGCAAGAAAAGUUCCUAAAAUGUUAGGAUCAUCGAUGGUUAAUAAACUCCCAAUUAACAUAAAUACAAGAAUGAAUAAAUUACAAUAAAUUUAAGAAACAUUACCUUUAAAUUUUUUAAAUAUGAAAUGUCUGAGAUGUGGCUGAUACUGUUCUCAGACAAAUCUAGAUGUUCCAAUUUGGUAUUUGUGUGUAAAUGUUCAAUAGACUAUAUAAAUUAAUGCAUUAUUAGAAAUCUUGUAUAAUGAUUAUCUUAUAAUAUUACUUAUUCACUGCAAGAGUGAUACCAUAAAAACAAAGUGUGUAAAUUAUAUACCUUUAUAUUGUUGCCAGCUAAGCAGAGAGUUUGUAAAUUUAUCAUAUCCUUUAUUCCUUCUAUGGUUAAGAUACCAUUAUUUGCUAAAUUCAAAGUUACAAGAUUAUGUAACUUUGAUACACCAUACAUCCGUAAUAAUUGGUUUCUUACAAUUGAAAGCUGAAAUUUUAUAUCUAUCAGCACUAAGGAUAAUUAUUUAUUUAUCAGACAAUGUGUUGCUGUUAACAUGUCAAUGAAAGAUACAUAUAACAAGACACUGUACCAUAAUGUAAAAAUACACAGGAACAAAUUGUAUGCAUAA